UACGAAGGGUGCAAGCGUUACUCGGAAUUACUGGGCGUAAAGGGUGCGUAGGUGGUUCGUUAAGUCUGAUGUGAAAGCCCUGGGCUCAACCUGGGAAUUGCAUUGGAUACUGGCGGGCUAGAGUGCGGUAGAGGGUAGUGGAAUUCCCGGUGUAGCAGUGAAAUGCGUAGAUAUCGGGAGGAACAUCCGUGGCGAAGGCUACUGCCUGGACCAGCACUGACACUGAGGCACGAAAGCGUGGGGAGCAAACAGGAUUAGAUACCCCGGUA
rnacentral:rRNA from 1 species